rnacentral:rRNA from 1 species
CGCUGGCGGCGUGCCUAACACAUGCAAGUCGCACGUGAAAGGGAGCAAUCCCAAGUAAAGUGGCGUACGGGUGAGUAACACGUAGGUAAUCUACCCCAGAAUCUGGAAUAACCGGCCGAAAGGCUGGCUAAUACUGGAUAGAGCGACGGAAUCCGUAAUUGGGUUUUUCGGGAAAGGGAGCCUGUAAAAAGGCCUUCGUUCUGGGAUGAGCCUGCGUCCCAUCAGCUAGUUGGUGAGGUAAAAGCUUACCAAGGCAAUGACGGGUAGCUGGUCUGAGAGGGCGAUCCGCCACACUGGAACUGAAACACGGUCCAGACUCCUACGGGAGGCAGCAGUGGGGAAUCUUGCGCAAUGGACGAAAGUCUGACGCAGCAACGCCGCGUGAGUGAAGAAGGCCUUCGGGUUGUAAAGCUCUGUCGAGUGGGACGAAAAUGCUUGGAGUUCACAGCUCCAGGAACUGACGGUACCACUAAAGGAAGCACCGGCUAACUCCGUG